GGGAGGAGGUCGCAUCCUGGGCUGUGUCCCGGCGCCCUGGGCUCCGGGGCCUGCGCUGUUGGAUUCGUGCUCCCACCCCGCAGUCGCCU
rnacentral:pre_miRNA from 1 species